rnacentral:rRNA from 1 species
GACGGGGGGGGCAAGUGUUCUUCGGAAUGACUGGGCGUAAAGGGCACGUAGGCGGCGAAUCGGGUUGAAAGUGAAAGUCGCCAAAAACUGGCGGAAUGCUCUCGAAACCAAUUCACUUGAGUGAGACAGAGGAGAGUGGAAUUUCGUGUGUAGGGGUGAAAUCCCGAGAUCUACGAAGGAACGCCAAAAGCGAAGGCAGCUCUCUGGGUCCCUACCGACGCUGGGGUGCGAAAGCAUGGGGAGCGAAUGGG